rnacentral:rRNA from 1 species
GACGAACGCUGGCGGCGUGCUUAACACAUGCAAGUCGAACGGAAAGGCCCUGCUUUUGCGGGGUGCUCGAGUGGCGAACGGGUGAGUAACACGUGAGUAACCUGCCCUUGACUUUGGGAUAACUUCAGGAAACUGGGGCUAAUACCGGAUAGGAGCUCCUGCUGCAUGGUGGGGGUUGGAAAGUUUCGGCGGUUGGGGAUGGACUCGCGGCUUAUCAGCUUGUUGGUGGGGUAGUGGCUUACCAAGGCUUUGACGGGUAGCCGGCCUGAGAGGGUGACCGGCCACAUUGGGACUGAGAUACGGCCCAGACUCCUACGGGAGGCAGCAGUGGGGAAUAUUGCACAAUGGGCGGAAGCCUGAUGCAGCAACGCCGCGUGCGGGAUGACGGCCUUCGGGUUGUAAACCGCUUUCGCCUGUGACGAAGCGUGAGUGACGGUAAUGGGUAAAGAAGCACCGGCUAACUACGUG